CAAUGUUUUUCUCCCUUAUUUAAUAACUGUAUAAUAGGCAAAGUUUUUUAAACUACUGCUUCCCAUACCACCCGUUUAGGACUACUUUUCAGAACAUUCCUCCAAAGAUCAACAAAAUCAUCUCCCCAACACGCACGCAUACACACACACACACACACACACACACACAGGUCCCAUCUGUUUUAAAUUACUGUGGCACUAAGUCUUGAUGAAGAGCAGUAGAAAAAAUAAUGUCUUGGAAAGAAAUGGGGCUUCCCUGGACCAUUCUUCUAGCCCAAGUCUCUGCCCCAUGUCACACCUGGAAGUGACCCGAUCCUUGGCCGGUACUGCCCGAAAGAAAGAGGGGACGACAAAAAGACGUUGCUCACUCCCAUCUGGGAACCUCCUGUGUCACCCUCCCUGCGCCCCGCGGCCCCCCUCAGACACUCACCAACUGUUGCACCUCUUCCCUCGACCAUCUGCCUCCUGCGCAGCCAGCAUCACACGGCUCUUCGGUGGCACAGCAGGACUUACUCAGGCCCCUGAGGCCCACACACUCUUUCCACUACAUCAUGCUGCCUCGUGACUGACCCUGAAACCACCUCACUUGGUCUUGGCAGUCUUAUGUGGAAGGACUAUGCAAAUAGAUGAAUUGUUGUCUCACCCCCUUCUUCUGUUAACACAAACGAUCCACAGAGCAUCCCACUUCCCUUCCCUCACUUUACACGCGGACUACACUCAGUCGUGGUAUGUUUCACAACUUAAUGAACACCCCUACAUCUUCCAAGAAGCAGCCUUAUGCACCCGACAGCGGGGCCUGCUCUUCGCAGACCACAUGAUCGGCAAAGGAGGCCUCUUUAGUAGAGGCUAACCCUAGAAACAAACAUUAGGGCUCCACAUCUGAAUUCGGGCUUCUGGUCUCACCUCAAGAAUCACCCACGGGCUAACACCCACAAGCGUGUUACGGAAAGCGGGGCUCAGGACUGACACCCGCUGACAUCAGUGAGAACAAGCGGGGACCUCCGCCCUCAAAGCUGUGAAUAACCAAGCACCCUACCAACUCUCCCUUCCUGAGGCACUGCCCUAUCUCAGGGCAUUUUCACAGGACUGUCAGAGUAGAUCAUAGACACAGAGUACCUGGAUGUCAGCAAAGCAUCUGACAGUCAGUCAUUCAAAGCAUAGCUGAGUGAGAAGGGAAACUCUGGGCCAAGUGACAGUUCAGUUUGAGGGCCUCAGAGGUAACUGAGCAACCACACCCAGGGGUGCUAACAUCACAGAAGAGCAACACUGGCUUGGAGGGAGGUCCUUGCACAGUGGGGCUUUGUAGGUUUAUCCCUGGUAACGUUUUCAUCAAGAUGUGCUUAAGGGGAUCACAAAUAAUUCAUGGCUGAGGGGACAAUUAAUGAGAGGAAUGAACAGAGAUUUGAAAACAUUUCAACAGGCUGGAAUACUGCCAAAACUGACCAAAACAACCACCAAAAAAGAACGCAAAGAAUUAACAGAGAUAAAGCCCUACUUUUAAUGCAGUGUCCGGCUCCCCCCUUGCAGAUGAUGAACGCUACUAAGAUGAGGACAAGAAAAUGAACCCCAGCCUAGGGACAGGCCACAGAGUGAGUGUCCUGCAGGCCUUCCUCGGACUGCCAUCCCAUUCCAGCAUGGUGUCUAACACCCAGUGGGCAUCAAAAAAAUGGUAAGUGAAUGAAAGAAUGACCUGUGACACAGUGACUGUAAUUCGAAGGUACAACUAGGGCAGAGGAAAGUAGCAGUCAUCUCAGAGGGGAGAAAAACCAAAACCGGAUGGACUGAAGGGGACCUUUCUAAACCAGGCUGAAGACAGAGUGCCACCCACCCCUCAGCAGCCCCUGAAGGCUCAUCAGCCACAGGACACCUGUUCCAUCCUAUUUCUAGGGCUUACAAAACAGAUGGAGUUAAUUAACAAAGACAAUACAUAUAUGCAUCAUCCUGCAGCCAUAAACCAGAAGGAUGUCACAGCUUUAACUUCAAAGCCUCCCAGCAAGCACAGCCUGAGAUAUUUUUAGGCAUCAGCUCCAUUGUUUCAAAGAGGAUAUGGUUUGGUGAAAUAAAAUUGCCAAAAAGUAAAAUUCACAGGACAACCUUGCUAGGUUGAAGACUGGCAUUUGUUUUUAAAACCAGUUAUGUCUGUCUUAAAGGGUGUGCUUCUGCAAAGCUGAGAAUAAAUUUUGUCAUCAAAUGUU